UUCAUUGUAAAAGCACAAUACUGUCGACUUCUACUUAUUCAUUAAAUUAGAUUCACUAAAUGAAAUCUUUUUUUCCAGACUUACAAUGUGUCUUCACCUCAUGGACCAACUUUUUAAAGUUUGCAGCCAAAGACAGCUGUCCCUACUGCCUCAAAAGAAUCCAGGCCACUGAGACACAUCUGAUGAGAAGGCAUUACCUGUUCACUUUACUGAGGAAGGCACUGAAAAGUUUGUGGUACCAUGUAUGUGCAAAGACAGAAUCCAGGGAAGAAGCCACUGGCACUGCCCAUACUGCAAAAAGAUAAUUUAUCGGAAAUGUAACUUUGAGGGGCACAUAUCCAAACCACAUGGUUUUACAAUACUACAGCAAAACCAAGAUGCAGAGAUAGAUCAGCCCUCUGUCUUUGAGGAGGAGGUCCCCCUGAGUCCUGAACCCUGGUGUCAGCACAAACUAGGCAGUCUGGGCCAGGAGGACCAAAAGGCCUCACUGCUGCUUCAAGUCAAAACAGAACAGGAAGAGGAAACAUGGAGACAAAGCAUGCCGGAAG